rnacentral:snoRNA from 1 species
AUCUGAUGGUGAGGACAGUUGUCACAAAGCUUCUUGAAUCUCUCCAAUAGUCAUAUAAGCUCUCUCCAUCAAGCUGCCUAAUCCCAAUGAUGUCUUUUCUGAUAGUU